UACGUAGGUGGCAAGCGUUGUCCGGAUUUACUGGGCGUAAAGGAUGCGUAGGCGGACAUUUAAGUCAGAUGUGAAAUACCCGAGCUUAACUUGGGUGCUGCAUUUGAAACUGGGUGUCUAGAGUGCAGGAGAGGUAAGUAGAAUUCCUAGUGUAGCGGUGAAAUGCGUAGAGAUUAGGAAGAACACCAGUGGCGAAGGCGACUUACUGGACACAUAUUGACGCUGAGGUGCGAAAGCGUGGGGAGCAAACAGG
rnacentral:rRNA from 1 species